UGAGGAAUAUUGGACAAUGGGGGGAACCCUGAACCAGCCAUCCCGCGUGCAGGAAGACAGUUCUAUGGAUUGUAAACUGCUUUUCUUGGGGAAGAAUAAUGACGACGUGUCGUCAGAUGACGGUACCCGAGGAAUAAGCAUCGGCUAACUCCGUGCCAGCAGCCGCGGUAAUACGGAGGAUGCAAGCGUUAUCCGGAUUUAUUAGGUUUAAAGGGUGUGUAGGCGGAUGUAUAAGUCAGUGGUGAAAGUCAGCAGCUUAACUGUAGAAUUGCCAUUGAUACUGUAUGUCUUGAGUGUGGUUGAGGUAUGCGGAAUGUGUAAUGUAGCGGUGAAAUGCAUAGAUAUAACACAGAACACCAAUUGCGAAGGCAGCUUACUGGGAUACAACUGACGCUGAGGCACGAAAGCGUGGGGAUCAAACA
rnacentral:rRNA from 1 species